rnacentral:lncRNA from 1 species
CGGAAAGGAGACACCAGCAAAGACCCAACAGCUGCUCAGCUCCCCAGAACAGGACACUAUUGUGGGACAGCAGAUACAGGACUGCCAGGAAGGAUGCUCCAAGCACAGAAAAAGCAAACCCGGGGAAGGGGAAUUUCACUGCGAGGAGAAACGCCGCGGUGCCCUCACUCGCGAGCUGUGAAGGGCAGAUCUGCCACUGGGUUUCAACAGACUAUUCUUCAGCCAUCUUCCAUUCAUCGUUGGGAAUGAAAGCUAAAUAACUCCUGUUUCAUAACGGAGGGACUAGCCUCUCCAAGAGGUAAGACACUUCCUUUCUCUGCUUGAAACAUCAUGAACUUUCAAACUUGGCAAGGCUCUUUUGAGUUCGAUCUAAUAAUAAACCCAAACCUUCCAUUGCA